rnacentral:rRNA from 1 species
UACGAAGGGUGCAAGCGUUACUCGGAAUUACUGGGCGUAAAGGGCGCGUAGGCGGCCAUCUAAGUCAGACGUGAAAUCCCCCGGCUUAACCUGGGAACUGCGUCUGAUACUGGACGGCUUGAGUGCGGGAGAGGGAUGUGGAAUUCCAGGUGUAGCGGUGAAAUGCGUAGAUAUCUGGAGGAACACCGGUGGCGAAGGCGGCAUCCUGGACCGACACUGACGCUGAGGCGCGAAAGCUAGGGUAGCAAACGGG